rnacentral:lncRNA from 1 species
UUGCAAGCAUAGUAUUAGCAUUAGCAUUGGUUACAGUUUCAUUUUCUUUGAAAUACUUAUGCCUGAAUAGACUUAGUGGGUAAGUCGGCGAGGUCGGUUGCCGAACCCACUGGGAACUUCGUUGUAGUUCUCACACCACUAACCCUACAGGUCCGAGCGCGAGCGGGGCGGCGGAGGACCGUGGCAAGGGUAUUGCGUCAUAGCUAGUGGCCACAGGGACUUAUACAUGUUUAGUCAUUCCUUUUGUACAUGUAUCAACUUUCUUUUGUUGAUUAAGAGAAAUGUAAAGUUGUAAACAAUCAUGUAUUUUAGAGAAUGACAAAAAUGUAAAGAAUUAUGUUGAAUGGAAAAGGAAUGUAAUAGUUGUAGUUUACUUGUAUUUGGUUAAAAUGUAAUCAAAUAUUAUGUAUGGUUGUAUAUAUUAGCUUAGAGCUUUCGCUUCCGUUGUUACUUGCCCUCUUACAAGCCUUGUAUAAUGGCAUAUCUCUUUGUUGAUUGUUUAAUUAUACUUGUUGUUGGAGCCUUGGGCGGACAUGGGAGACGCUGUCCGUUCGGCGUCUGUUGACGUGACCCGAACCCGACCAAAUUGGCGGGGAUUGGGGCUUGACAGGUACACAGCCCUGCUGAGGCAACCCGAGAGCAGACUCAAAAAUUCAAUCUUUUGGAUUUUGGUGCUAAGUUUUAAACUUCAAUUCUUGGGAUAUGAGCCAUAGGUCGGAACACUAUCAACAACUGUAACAAACCAGAUUUUGGUAUAAAAAUAAAAAUAAAUAAAAAUAGUAUGAGAAACUAUUUCUAUUGGAUUUGUAGAAGUAAAAAAUGAGUCAGAAAUGAUUUAUGCUGAAAUCGGAAUGAAAACAGAAGAUCUAGAAUUUUCUGUUGGAAACGGGACAGAUAAAUUAGCAGAAAAUGCACAGUCUCAGAAAAUUAU